rfam:Aedes aegypti strain Liverpool supercont1.50 genomic scaffold, whole genome shotgun sequence.
CAAUCGGCCCUUUUCAGGGCCAACGAAUGGGCACUCAAGAGUUAUCU